GACGAACGCUGGCGGCGUGCUUAACACAUGCAAGUCGAACGAUGAUGCCCAGCUUGCUGGGCGGAUUAGUGGCGAACGGGUGAGUAACACGUGAGUAACCUGCCCUUGACUUCGGGAUAACUCCGGGAAACCGGGGCUAAUACCGGAUAUGAGCCGUCCUCGCAUGGGGGGGGUUGGAAAGUUCUUCGGUCAGGGAUGGGCUCGCGGCCUAUCAGCUUGUUGGUGGGGUGAUGGCCUACCAAGGCGACGACGGGUAGCCGGCCUGAGAGGGCGACCGGCCACACUGGGACUGAGACACGGCCCAGACUCCUACGGGAGGCAGCAGUGGGGAAUAUUGCACAAUGGGCGAAAGCCUGAUGCAGCGACGCCGCGUGAGGGAUGAAGGCCUUCGGGUUGUAAACCUCUUUCAGCAGGGAAGAAGCGCAAGUGACGGUACCUGCAGAAGAAGCGCCGGCUAACUACGUGCCAGCAGCCGCCGUAAAAC
rnacentral:rRNA from 1 species